rnacentral:rRNA from 1 species
GACGAACGCUGGCGGCGUGCUUAACACAUGCAAGUCGAACGGAAAGGCCCUGCUUGCAGGGUGCUCGAGUGGCGAACGGGUGAGUAACACGUGGGUGAUCUGCCCCUUACUUUGGGAUAAGCCUGGGAAACUGGGUCUAAUACUGGAUAGGACCAUGCUGUAGGUGGUGUGGUGGAAAGAUUAGUUUCGGUAAGGGAUGAGCUCGCGGCCUAUCAGCUUGUUGGUGGGGUAAUGGCCUACCAAGGCGUCGACGGGUAGCCGGCCUGAGAGGGUGGACGGCUACAUUGGGACUGAGAUACGGCCCAGAAUCCUACGGGAGGCAGCAGUGGGGAAUAUUGCACAAUGGGCGCAAGCCUGAUGCAGCGACGCCGCGUGGGGGAUGACGGCCUUCGGGUUGUAAACUCCUUUCAGCCAUGACGAAGCCCUUGUGGUGACGGUAGUGGUAGAAGAAGCACCGGCUAACUACGUG